GCCUGGGGGGAUGGUUGAGGUACUGUGAAAAUGCAUUAUUACUGCCCCAGGCAUCCAAUUACAUAUAUAAGUUGCAUGUUCUAAUUAAAUUUUCCUAAUGUAAUGUCGGCUUUGCCCGCUGCUAUUAAUUAUUGAAGCCACGUUCAGCUUAGGUGGAUUUUCCUCUCCCGCCUCACCUUCCAUUCACUCUUCACUCCUGGCUGCCCUUCGGCUGGCUGCAAACUCCCUGAGGAUGGGUCCUCUUUGAGCAAAGGCACCCACCGUGAGGCUCCCCUGUUGGACAGAGGAGGAGUCACCCAUAGGAGGAGAAGCAAGCAUCACCAGGCUGCUUCGUAACGAACACGUUAAGCACAAUGAUGGUAAUGGAAGGUACUCCAAAACAUCAGUGCACUUCCCUGCACUCUCUCCCAAGAGGCUUGUUUGCUCCCUUCUCACCAUCACCCACUCCCUGACCUAAAAAGGUGGUAACUACUCCCUCAGAAGGUUGAAGACUGUGGUCAGAUCCCAAGACGCAAGCAUGCAGGUGGAUCUGGCAGAGGGACGUUCCCAAGCCCCUGAAAUCAGACUUUAAAAUGUGCUGUGGAGGAAGGAAAGGUGGGGACCGGAGAAAGAACAUGGAACCAGGCCUGGAGCUUUUUCUGCUGGUGGCCAUCCUGGGAGCUGCCCCAAAGCAGCAAGCCUAGCCCUUCGCAAAGGCUCAUCCUGCAGCAAUGCACCUGCCAUGCCCCAGACUCUGCCAUGGCUCUCACCCACAACCAGCCCUCCUUUUGUGAUGAGGAAACUGAGGCUUAGGUAAUCAAAGGGACCAAAGAAAAGUCACACAUCAAGUAGGGAACAGAACGGAGCUGAAACAACACAACCUCUGACCGUGAGUGCACAGAUCCCAGCUCUCCUUUAUGCUCUGUGUACUAGCUAUCAGGCAUCACACUCUAGUGAAUGGAUAUGAUUACCAUCAUCCUCACUUUACAGAUGCAUAAACUGAGGCUUGAAAAGGUAGAGUAACUUGACCAAAGUCUCACAGCCAGAAACUGGCAAAUUUGGCACUUGAUCCCAAUCUGAUUAACUCUAAGAUCCGUGUUCUUAACCGCUAUGACAUCUGCCCCUUAGAUGUUUGUCCCAUUAAAUAUGAUAAAAAAUGCUA
rnacentral:lncRNA from 1 species